rnacentral:rRNA from 1 species
UACGAAGGGUGCAAGCGUUACUCGGAAUUACUGGGCGUAAAGCGUGCGUAGGUGGUUCGUUAAGUCUGAUGUGAAGCCCACGGCUCAACCGUGGAAGGUCAUUGGAAACUGGGGAACUUGAGUGCAGAAGAGGAAAGUGGAAUUCCAAGUGUAGCGGUGAAAUGCGUAGAGAUCAGGAGGAACACCCGUGGCGAAGGCGGCACUCUGGGUCGCACCUGACGCUGAGACGCGAAAGCGUGGGAGCAAACAGG